UACGAAACGUUGAUGAGGAGAAGUAAAAGGCCCCUUUCUUCUACAGAGAGAAUCACCUUGGCUGGGAGUGAUUCGAAGAGAAACCUUUGAAAUGCACCUCGGAGUCUUUGGCUGAAUGGAGUAUGCUGAAGCGGGUACCUUCCGUUAUCGAGGAUGAAGCGGGGAGAGGAUUAGUCUUUCCCAAACAGAGUGGAACCACGUUCGACGCGUCUCUGUG
rnacentral:ncRNA from 1 species